GGCGUAAAGCGCGCGCAGGCGGCUCUUUAAGUCUGGUGUUUAAUCCCGAGGCUCAACUUCGGGUCGCACUGGAAACUGGGGAGCUUGAGUGCACCUUAGGAGAGUGGAAUUCCACGUGUAGCGGUGAAAUGCGUAGAGAUGUGGAGGAACGCCGGUGGCGAAUGCGACUCUCUGGUCUGUAACUGACGCUGAGGCGCGAAAGAGUGGGGA
rnacentral:rRNA from 1 species